rnacentral:tRNA from 1 species
GCACGAAUGGCGGAAUAGGUAGACGCGCAUGUUUGAGGGGCAUGUAGUGUAAAAACUGUGCGAGUUCAAGUCUCGCUUCGUGCACCA